GUGGGGAAUAUUGGGCAAUGGGGGAAACCCUGACCCAGCGACACCGCGUGAGGGAAGACGGCCUUCGGGUUGUAAACCUCUUUUGUACGGGAAGAAGGAAGUGACGGUACUGUACGAAUAAGUCCCGGCUAACUACGUGCCAGCAGCCGCGGUAAUACGUAGGGGACGAGCGUUGUCCGGAAUUACUGGGCGUAAAGGGCGCGCAGGCUGUGCUGCAAGUCAGCUGUGAAAUGUCUGGGCUUAACCCGGGCAUGCGGUUGAGACUGCAGUGCUGGAGUGCUGUAGAGGCAAGUGGAAUUCCCAGUGUAGCGGUGAAAUGCGUAGAUAUUGGGAAGAACACCGGUGGCGAAGGCGACUUGCUGGGCAGCAACUGACGCUGAGGCGCGAAAGCCAGGGGAGCAAACGGGAUUAGAAACCCCGGUAGUCC
rnacentral:rRNA from 1 species